rnacentral:rRNA from 1 species
AUUGAACGCUGGCGGAAUGCUUUACACAUGCAAGUCGAACGGCAGCACGGGGCAACCUGGUGGCGAGUGGCGAACGGGUGAGUAAUACAUCGGAACGUGCCCAAUCGUGGGGGAUAACGUAGCGAAAGUUACGCUAAUACCGCAUACGAUCUACGGAUGAAAGCGGGGGAUCGCAAGACCUCGCGCGAAUGGAGCGGCCGAUGUCAGAUUAGGUAGUUGGUGGGGUAAAGGCUCACCAAGCCAACGAUCUGUAGCUGGUCUGAGAGGACGACCAGCCACACUGGAACUGAGACACGGUCCAGACUCCUACGGGAGGCAGCAGUGGGGAAUUUUGGACAAUGGGCGCAAGCCUGAUCCAGCCAUUCCGCGUGCAGGAUGAAGGCCUUCGGG